rnacentral:misc_RNA from 1 species
UGCAUUUACCUUGGCCACCCCUUUUUAACAGGGUGUCCUCAGCGAUAGAUAACUUAUCACGCUGAGUGGAACCAAGCAUAACACUGAGAUCCAGCUAAUGCACAAAGAGGAGCAGGUGUGAAGCUGCAAUAGACCUCCAAUACCAAAGCAGAACCAAUUGAGUUAACAAAAGGUUUGACUUUGAAGAUUUCAUGAUACUCAAACAGGCAUGCUCCAAGGAAUACCAAGGAGCGCAAGGUGCGUUCAAAGAUUCGAUGAUUCACUGAAUUCUGCAAUUCACAUUACUUAUCGCAUUUCGCUGCGUUCUUCAUCGAUGCGAGAGCCAAGAGAUCCGUUGUUGAAACUUAGUAUUAGAUGUGUUACAUCCAUUACAUUCAUUUUAAAAUAAAUUGAGUUUAUAUAGAUUAAGUAGACAGAAGUCCAAGGAGACCCACGUCCAAUAAAGUUCCUUCCCUCCUAGAAAACAUCUGUCUCACAGGUGCACAGGUGUGUAUGGGAUGAAAGAGAAAGGUG